CGUCACACUAUCAUUAACUGAAUCCAUAGGUUAAUGAGGCGAACCGGGGGAACUGAAACAUCUAAGUACCCCGAGGAAAAGAAAUCAACCGAGAUUCCCCCAGUAGCGGCGAGCGAACGGGGAGGAGCCCAGAGCCUGAAUCAGUGUGUGUGUUAGUGGAAGCGUCUGGAAAGGCGCGCGAUACAGGGUGACAGCCCCGUACACAAAAAUGCACAUGCUGUGAGCUCGAUGAGUAGGGCGGGACACGUGGUAUCCUGUCUGAAUAUGGGGGGACCAUCCUCCAAGGCUAAAUACUCCUGACUGACCGAUAGUGAACCAGUACCGUGAGGGAAAGGCGAAAAGAACCCCGGCGAGGGGAGUGAAAAAGAACCUGAAACCGUGUACGUACAAGCAGUGGGAGCACAGAGCAAUCUGUGUGACUGCGUACCUUUUGUAUAAUGGGUCAGCGACUUAUAUUCUGUAGCAAGGUUAACCGAAUAGGGGAGCCGAAGGGAAACCGAGUCUUAACUGGGCGUUAAGUUGCAGGGUAUAGACCCGAAACCCGGUGAUCUAGCCAUGGGCAGGUUGAAGGUUGGGUAACACUAACUGGAGGACCGAACCGACUAAUGUUGAAAAAUUAGCGGAUGACUUGUGGCUGGGGGUGAAAGGCCAAUCAAACCGGGAGAUAGCUGGUUCUCCCCGAAAGCUAUUUAGGUAGCGCCUCGUGAAUUCAUCUCCGGGGGUAGAGCACUGUUUCGGCAAGGGGGUCAUCCCGACUUACCAACCCGAUGCAAACUGCGAAUACCGGAGAAUGUUAUCACGGGAGACACACGGCGGGUGCUAACGUCCGUCGUGAAGAGGGAAACAACCCAGACCGCCAGCUAAGGUCCCAAAGUCAUGGUUAAGUGGGAAACGAUGUGGGAAGGCCCAGACAGCCAGGAUGUUGGCUUAGAAGCAGCCAUCAUUUAAAGAAAGCGUAAUAGCUCACUGGUCGAGUCGGCCUGCGCGGAAGAUGUAACGGGGCUAAACCAUGCACCGAAGCUGCGGCAGCGACACUAUGUGUUGUUGGGUAGGGGAGCGUUCUGUAAGCCUGUGAAGGUGUGCUGUGAGGCAUGCUGGAGGUAUCAGAAGUGCGAAUGCUGACAUAAGUAACGAUAAAGCGGGUGAAAAGCCCGCUCGCCGGAAGACCAAGGGUUCCUGUCCAACGUUAAUCGGGGCAGGGUGAGUCGACCCCUAAGGCGAGGCCGAAAGGCGUAGUCGAUGGGAAACAGGUUAAUAUUCCUGUACUUGGUGUUACUGCGAAGGGGGGACGGAGAAGGCUAUGUUGGCCGGGCGACGGUUGUCCCGGUUUAAGCGUGUAGGCUGGUUUUCCAGGCAAAUCCGGAAAAUCAAGGCUGAGGCGUGAUGACGAGGCACUACGGUGCUGAAGCAACAAAUGCCCUGCUUCCAGGAAAAGCCUCUAAGCAUCAGGUAACAUCAAAUCGUACCCCAAACCGACACAGGUGGUCAGGUAGAGAAUACCAAGGCGCUUGAGAGAACUCGGGUGAAGGAACUAGGCAAAAUGGUGCCGUAACUUCGGGAGAAGGCACGCUGAUAUGUAGGUGAAGCGACUUGCUCGUGGAGCUGAAAUCAGUCGAAGAUACCAGCUGGCUGCAACUGUUUAUUAAAAACACAGCACUGUGCAAACACGAAAGUGGACGUAUACGGUGUGACGCCUGCCCGGUGCCGGAAGGUUAAUUGAUGGGGUCAGCGCAAGCGAAGCUCUUGAUCGAAGCCCCGGUAAACGGCGGCCGUAACUAUAACGGUCCUAAGGUAGCGAAAUUCCUUGUCGGGUAAGUUCCGACCUGCACGAAUGGCGUAAUGAUGGCCAGGCUGUCUCCACCCGAGACUCAGUGAAAUUGAACUCGCUGUGAAGAUGCAGUGUACCCGCGGCAAGACGGAAAGACCCCGUGAACCUUUACUAUAGCUUGACACUGAACAUUGAGCCUUGAUGUGUAGGAUAGGUGGGAGGCUUUGAAGUGUGGACGCCAGUCUGCAUGGAGCCGACCUUGAAAUACCACCCUUUAAUGUUUGAUGUUCUAACGUUGACCCGUAAUCCGGGUUGCGGACAGUGUCUGGUGGGUAGUUUGACUGGGGCGGUCUCCUCCUAAAGAGUAACGGAGGAGCACGAAGGUUGGCUAAUCCUGGUCGGACAUCAGGAGGUUAGUGCAAUGGCAUAAGCCAGCUUGACUGCGAGCGUGACGGCGCGAGCAGGUGCGAAAGCAGGUCAUAGUGAUCCGGUGGUUCUGAAUGGAAGGGCCAUCGCUCAACGGAUAAAAGGUACUCCGGGGAUAACAGGCUGAUACCGCCCAAGAGUUCAUAUCGACGGCGGUGUUUGGCACCUCGAUGUCGGCUCAUCACAUCCUGGGGCUGAAGUAGGUCCCAAGGGUAUGGCUGUUCGCCAUUUAAAGUGGUACGCGAGCUGGGUUUAGAACGUCGUGAGACAGUUCGGUCCCUAUCUGCCGUGGGCGCUGGAGAACUGAGGGGGGCUGCUCCUAGUACGAGAGGACCGGAGUGGACGCAUCACUGGUGUUCGGGUUGUCAUGCCAAUGGCACUGCCCGGUAGCUAAAUGCGGAAGAGAUAAGUGCUGAAAGCAUCUAAGCACGAAACUUGCCCCGAGAUGAGUUCUCCCUGACUCCUUGAGAGUCCUGAAGGAACGUUGAAGACGACGACGUUGAUAGGCCGGGUGUGUAAGCGCAGCGAUGCGUUGAGCUAACCGGUACUAAUGAACCGUGAGG
rnacentral:rRNA from 1 species